GGACUGUAAGUCGCCAGCCCCUGAGAACCACUGCUUUUCUUCCUGAGCUCUUCCCACACGCCCACACUUCCUUCUUCCCUACGAUUGGCUGACUUCUCAUUUGCAUAGCUCUGUCCGUGUGCACGCAGGCCAUCCAGGCUUGCGCUCCUUUUUUAUUACAGCUUGCCCGAUAAUCCUUUUGUAUGAUCACACUGCAUUUGAUUUACUCAUCAAUUUAUCUAUAGGUACCUGACUUCUUCUUUCUCACUUCUGUAAAUACAGCAGGAUGAUAUUCCAUUGUAUGACUAUACCAUGCUCACACAUCCAUCCAUCAGUUAACGGGCACAGAGGCUGCUCCCACUCUCUGGCUACCAUGAAGAGCAGCUAUGAACAUGGAUACGUUGUCACUGCUGUUGCUAACUGGAUUCUGCUGAGCUGAACUGCUGGUGUUAUCAGUGAAGUGCUUGCAAAGGAUCGAGCUGCUGCCGCCAGAUGACCUGUGAAUUGAACUGCUGAUUUCCAGACAACACAGACUGGAGUUGCUUCAGAGAACCUUUCUAAACAGGACACCUGACGGAAACAACCUAAAGAAUGAAGAAGGGUUUGUUAUUGUUGUUUGCUGUGUGAGAGAGUACGCCGGCUGCUGCUCACAUGAUCCCAGCUGUUAGGAAGUAGAGACAAAAACACUGACUAGAACCAGGGCCAGACUGCUGCCCAGAAGGCCUGCCACCCCAGGGAUCACUUCCUCCCGUGAGGCUCCACCUUCUAAAGGUUCCAAAACCUUCCAAGCCAGCUGCCAGCUGUAACCCGAUGUUCAAACACACGAACCAAAUGGGGGUGUCGAAUGGCCAAACCAAAACACGAUUCAAGUGAAAAACUGAAAGACUACUGUUGUAACCUAGAUAGAAUGGUGCGUGCGUGCGUGCAUGUGUGUGUGUGUGUGUGUGUGUGUGUGUGUGUGUGUGUGCGUGCGUGCGUGUGUGUGUCGGGGGGGGGGUUGGGCCUGAAGAGAAGACAGACACACGUAAAGCAGAAUCAGGUUUGACUAACUGACUGAAUGAAAAGAGACAAGGGAGGGUCUGACCCAAGAUUACACAGCUUGGGAGUGGCAGUGGUAUCACGAAUACGAACAGAGAUGGGAACGAGGAGACGCUCAUGGGUUCUAUUUUUAAUAUAGCAUGGCAGGGUGCUAACAGGGAAUUAGGUAUGAGGAAUGUGACUGGAGAGAGAGAGAGGUCACCUCUGGAGACCGCCGCUUUGGGAACUGUGUGCAUCGAAGUGCUAAUUAAACCCACAGGGCUGAUUGGAAGCUGCCAAACCAGGAAGCCCAGGGAGAGCAGAGUCUGCAUCAGACGCAAGCGGGCCAGGAGAAGAAGCUGGGAAGAAAGACUACCCAGUGCCAGAUGCAUCCCGGGCUGCUGGAUGAAGCAGAUAAAGUGCCCCCUCUACCCAAAACAAAAGCCUUUCACUCACAUAAUUCUCUGCUCUCUAAACUUCUGUUUGUUUCCACUGUAAAAGUUGUUUUCUUUCUAGUCCUUCCGUAGCCUAUUAGCUUUUUCAGUCUCAUAGUCCAGUAAUCUAAACAAACCAGCAUCAAUCAAUAAAAUACUCUACUUUCUUUCUGGGCUCCUGUACCAUGCAACACAUUCUAACACGUUCCAGUUAUGGUUUGGAUGGGGCUAGUCCUCCGAGGGCACUUAUGUAGGGAAGUUUGGUCCCUAAUGUAGCCGUGUUAGGAGCUGUGGUGUUAGCGCACACUUGUCAUCUCGGCAUUCAGAAGGAAGAGGUGGAAUGAUUAGCAGGCAAGCCUUAGAUCUACAGAGGUACGGAUGUAGCUUACUGGUAAGGCACUCGCUCGCCUAGCUCACAGCCCUUUCCCGGACAAACAAAGGCAAGCAGCCACACAACAAACAAACGAAAAACUGAACUGGGGUUGAAUUGACGGUGGUGUGGCCAUUAGGGGGUCACCUGUGGACAGGAGCAGAAUAGCGUAGUUCUUGUGGCAUCUGUAUGGGUUCCCACGACAGUGAGUUAAUACAUCCAAGUGAGACGAGCC
ensembl:lncRNA